UCCAUUGAGGUGGUUAAUGUGUGUUUCCAUUGAGGUAAUGUGUGUUUCCUCUUAGUCAGUGUGUUUCCAUUGAGGUAAUUGUGUUUUCCAUUGAGGUAAUGUGUGUUUCCUCAGUCAGUGUGUUUCCAUUGAGGUAAGUGUGUUUCCUCGUAGGUGUUUCCAUUGAGGUAAUGUGUGUUUCAUUGAGGUAAUGUGUGUUUCCAUUGAGGUAAUGUGUGUUUUCAUUGAGGUAAGUGUGCUUCCAUUGAGUAAUGUGUGUUUCCAUUGGGUAAUGUGUGUUCCAUUGAGGUAGUGUGUUCCAUUGAGGU
rnacentral:lncRNA from 1 species